AUGAACGCUAGCUACAGGCUUAACACAUGCAAGUCGAGGGGCAGCAUGAACUUAGCUUGCUAAGUUUGAUGGCGACCGGCGCACGGGUGAGUAACACGUAUCCAACCUGCCGAUGACUCGGGGAUAGCCUUUCGAAAGAAAGAUUAAUACCCGAUGGCAUAGUUCUUCCGCAUGGUAGAACUAUUAAAGAAUUUCGGUCAUCGAUGGGGAUGCGUUCCAUUAGGUUGUUGGCGGGGUAACGGCCCACCAAGCCUUCGAUGGAUAGGGGUUCUGAGAGGAAGGUCCCCCACAUUGGAACUGAGACACGGUCCAAACUCCUACGGGAGGCAGCAGUGAGGAAUAUUGGUCAAUGGACGAGAGUCUGAACCAGCCAAGUAGCGUGAAGGAUGACUGCCCUAUGGGUUGUAAACUUCUUUUAUACGGGAAUAAAGUGAGGCACGUGUGCCUUUUUGUAUGUACCGUAUGAAUGAGGAUCGGCUAACUCCGUGCCAGCAGCCGCGGUAAUACGGAGGAUCCGAGCGUUAUCCGGAUUUAUUGGGUUUAAAGGGAGCGUAGGCGGACGCUUAAGUCAGUUGUGAAAGUUUGCGGCUCAACCGUAAAAUUGCAGUUGAUACUGGGUGUCUUGAGUACAGUAGAGGCAGGCGGAAUUCGUGGUGUAGCGGUGAAAUGCUUAGAUAUCACGAAGAACUCCGAUUGCGAAGGCAGCUUGCUGGACUGUAACUGACGCUGAUGCUCGAAAGUGUGGGUAUCAAACAGGAUUAGAUACCCUGGUAGUCCACACAGUAAACGAUGAAUACUCGCUGUUUGCGAUAUACAGUAAGCGGCCAAGCGAAAGCGUUAAGUAUUCCACCUGGGGAGUACGCCGGCAACGGUGAAACUCAAAGGAAUUGACGGGGGCCCGCACAAGCGGUGGAGCAUGUGGUUUAAUUCGAUGCAACGCGAAGAACCUUACCUGGUCUUGACAUAGUAAGAACUUUCCAGAGAUGGAUUGGUGCCUUCGGGAACUUACAUACAGGUGCUGCAUGGCUGUCGUCAGCUCGUGUUGUGAAAUGUUGGGUUAAGUCCCGCAACGAGCGCAACCCUUAUCCUUUGUUGCCAGCGGUCCGGCCGGGAACUCAAAGGAGACUGCCAGUGAUAAACUGGAGGAAGGUGGGGAUGACGUCAAAUCAGCACGGCCCUUACGUCCGGGGCUACACACGUGUUACAAUGGGGGGUACAGAAGGCAGCUACACGGCGACGUGAUGCUAAUCCCGAAAGCCUCUCUCAGUUCGGAUUGGAGUCUGCAACCCGACUCCAUGAAGCUGGAUUCGCUAGUAAUCGCGCAUCAGCCAUGGCGCGGUGAAUACGAUCCCGGGCCUUGUACACACCGCCCGUCAAGCCAUGGAAGCCGGGAGUACCUGAAGCAUGCAACCGCAAGGAGCGUACGAAGGUAAUACCGGUAACUGGGGCU
rnacentral:rRNA from 1 species